rnacentral:rRNA from 1 species
CUGCGGAAGGAUCAUUACCGAGUGCGGGCCCCUCGGGGCCCAACCCUCCCACCCGUGUUGCCCGAACCUAUGUUGCCUCGGCGGGCCCCGCGCCCGCCGACGGCCCCCCUGAACGCUGUCUGAAGUUGCAGUCUGAGACCUAUAACGAAAUUAGUUAAAACUUUCAACAACGGAUCUCUUGGUUCCGGCAUCGAUGAAGAACGCAGCGAAAUGCGAUAACUAAUGUGAAUUGCAGAAUUCAGUGAAUCAUCGAGUCUUUGAACGCACAUUGCGCCCUCUGGUAUUCCGGAGGGCAUGCCUGUCCGAGCGUCAUUGCUGCCCUCAAGCCCGGCUUGUGUGUUGGGCCCCGUCCCCCCCGCCGGGGGGACGGGCCCGAAAGGCAGCGGCGGCACCGCGUCCGGUCCUCGAGCGUAUGGGGCUUCGUCACCCGCUCUAGUAGGCCCGGCCGGCGCCAGCCGACCCCCAACCUUUAAUUAUCUCAGGUUGACCUCGGAUCAGGUAGGGAUACCCGCUGAACUUAAGCAUAU